GUGGUAGCUCAGUGGUAGAGCGCUUGCCUCGCACGUGUGAGGUACUGAGUUCAAUCCUCAGCAGCACA
rnacentral:tRNA from 1 species